UACAGAGGUCUCAAGCGUUGUUCGGAUUCAUUGGGCGUAAAGGGUGCGUAGGCGGCGCGGUAAGUCGGGUGUGAAAUCUUGGAGCUUAACUCCGAAACUGCAUUCGAUACUGCCGUGCUUGAGGACUGGAGAGGAGACUGGAAUUUACGGUGUAGCGGUGGAAUGCGUAGAUAUCGUAAGGAAGACCAGUGGCGAAGGCGGGUCUCUGGACAGUUCCUGACGCUGGGGCACGAAGGCCAGGGGAGCAAACGGG
rnacentral:rRNA from 1 species